AGGCUUAUAGCUCAGGUGGUUAGAGCGCACCCCUGAUAAGGGUGAGGUCGGUGGUUCAAGUCCACUCAGGCCUACCA
rnacentral:tRNA from 2 species